ACAGCAGAGAAGGUAGCCAAAGAAGCAAGAAACAAGAAGUCUAAGACUAGAGGUGGGAAGAAAUAAUAGUAUGAAGUGCGGUCAAGAUAUGAAAGUAGAAGGGCAAGUUCCAUUGGGCAGAUCAGAAACACUAAUACAUGCCUGUGUUUCUUGUUUUUCUGUGUAUAGCUGUCGCAAUCAUCAUGCGACCGUAUGUAGAUUUUGGUAGUCUUGCUGUUCAUAUCUAAAAAAAUUUCCUGUUAGUACCGCACUUAUGUUAGGAUUUGCAAAUUAGAAAUCGCGACAACAAUUGAGAUACCUGCGUAGCUGUAGGGAU
rnacentral:lncRNA from 1 species